CUGCGACGCUGGCGGCGUGCCUAUACAUGCAAGUCGAGCGGACAGAUGGGAGCUUGCUCCCUGAUGUUAGCGGCGGACGGGUGAGUAACACGUGGGUAACCUGCCUGUAAGACUGGGAUAACUCCGGGAAACCGGGGCUAAUACCGGAUGGUUGUUUGAACCGCAUGGUUCAAACAUAAAAGGUGGCUUCGGCUACCACUUACAGAUGGACCCGCGGCGCAUUAGCUAGUUGGUGAGGUAACGGCUCACCAAGGCAACGAUGCGUAGCCGACCUGAGAGGGUGAUCGGCCACACUGGGACUGAGACACGGCCCAGACUCCUACGGGAGGCAGCAGUAGGGAAUCUUCCGCAAUGGACGAAAGUCUGACGGAGCAACGCCGCGUGAGUGAUGAAGGUUUUCGGAUCGUAAAGCUCUGUUGUUAGGGAAGAACAAGUACCGUUCGAAUAGGGCGGUACCUUGACGGUACCUAACCAGAAAGCCACGGCUAACUACGUGCCAGCAGCCGCGGUAAUACGUAGGUGGCAAGCGUUGUCCGGAAUUAUUGGGCGUAAAGGGCUCGCAGGCGGUUUCUUAAGUCUGAUGUGAAAGCCCCCGGCUCAACCGGGGAGGGUCAUUGGAAACUGGGGAACUUGAGUGCAGAAGAGGAGAGUGGAAUUCCACGUGUAGCGGUGAAAUGCGUAGAGAUGUGGAGGAACACCAGUGGCGAAUGCGACUCUCUGGUCUGUAACUGACGCUGAGGAGCGAAAGCGUGGAGGAGCGAUCAGGAUUAGAUACCCUGGUAGU
rnacentral:rRNA from 1 species